rnacentral:rRNA from 1 species
UACGAGUGCUCCAAGCGUUAUCCGGAAUCAUUGGGCGUAAAGGGUGUGUAGGUGGUUGUGUUAGUCUUCUGUUAAAUUCUACGGCUUAACCGGGGGCAUGCAGGGGAAACGGCACGACUAGAGGAUGCGAGAGGUGAAUGGAACUCAUGGAGUAGGGGUGAAAUCCGUUGAUAUCAUGGGGAACACCAAAUGCGGAGGCAAUUCACUGGCGCACUUCCUGACACUGAGACACGAAAGCGUAGGUAGCGAAUGGG